rnacentral:lncRNA from 1 species
GAGAGAGAUGGAGAGCUAGAGAGAGAGAGAGAGAUGGAGAGCUAGAGAGAGAGAGAUGGAGAGAGGGAGAUGGAGAGCUAGAGAGAGAAAGAUGGAGAGCUAGAGAGAGAGAUGGAGAGAUAGUGAGAGAGAGAUAGAGAGCCAGAGAGAGAGAGAUUGAGAGCUAGAGAGAGCGAGAUGGAGACCUAGAGAGAGAGAGAUGGAGAGCUAGAGAGAGAGAUGGAGAGAGGGAGAUGGAGUGCUAGAGAGAGAGGGAGAUGGAGAGCUAAAGAGAGAGAUGGAGAUGGAGAGCUAGAGAGAGAGAGACUGAGAGCUAGAGAGAGAUGGAGAUGGAGAGCUAGAGAGAUGGAGAGUGAGAGAGAGAUGGAGAGUCAGAGAGAGAGAGAGCUGGAGAGCUAGAGAGAGAGUGAUGGAGAGCUAGAGAUUGAGAGAUGGAGAGCUAGAGCUAGAGAGAGAGAUGGAGAGCUAGAGAGAGAGAGGGAGAUGAGAGCUAGAGAGAGAGAGAUGGAGAGCUAGAGAGAGAGCGAGAUGGAGAGCUAAAGAGAGAGAGAGAUGGAGAGCUAGAGAUAGAGAGAGAGAUUGAGAGCUAGAGAGAGAGAGAUGGAGAGCUAGAGAGAGAGAGAGAUGGAGAGCUAGAGAGAGAGAUGGAGAGCUAGAGAGAGAG